rnacentral:rRNA from 1 species
AUACCGGCUGCUCGAGUGAUGGCCACUAUUACUGGGUUUAAAGCGUCCGUAGCUUGACUGUUAGGUCUCUUGGGAAAUCUUUUGGCUUAACCAAAAGGCGUCUAAGAGAUACCGGCAUUCUUGGAACUGGGAGAGGUAAGCCGUACUUCGGGGGUAGGAGUGAAAUCUUGUAAUCCUCGAGGGACGACCUAUGGCGAAGGCAGCUUACCAGGACAGCUUCGAAAGUGAGGGACGAAAGCUGGGGGAGCAAACGGGAUUAGAUACCCCGGUAGGCCCAGCCGUAAACAAUGUGCGUUAGGUGUGUCGGUUACCACGCGUAACUGAUGCGCCGAAGAGAAAUCGUGAAACGCACCACCUGGGAAGUACGGUCGCAAGGCUGAAACUUAAAUGAAUUGGCGGGG